rnacentral:rRNA from 1 species
GUCUGACGGAGCAACGCCGCGUGAGUGAUGAAGGUUUUCGGAUCGUAAAACUCUGUUGUUAGGGAAGAACAAGUACCGGAGUAACUGCCGGUACCUUGACGGUACCUAACCAGAAAGCCACGGCUAACUACGUGCCAGCAGCCGCGGUAAUACGUAGGUGGCAAGCGUUGUCCGGAAUUAUUGGGCGUAAAGCGCGCGCAGGCGGUUCCUUAAGUCUGAUGUGAAAGCCCACGGCUCAACCGUGGAGGGUCAUUGGAAACUGGGGAACUUGAGUGCAGAAGAGAAGAGCGGAAUUCCACGUGUAGCGGUGAAAUGCGUAGAGAUGUGGAGGAACACCAGUGGCGAAGGCGACUCUUUGGUCUGUAACUGACGCUGAGGCGCGAAAGCGUGGGGAGCAAACAGGAUUAGAUACCCUGGUAGUCCACGCCGUAAACGAUGAGUGCUAAGUGUUAGAGGGUUUCCGCCCUUUAGUGCUGCAGCAAACGCAUUAAGCACUCCGCCUGGGGAGUACGGCCGCAAGGCUGAAACUCAAAGGAAUUG